GCACUGCUGAGGAGUCCCACAAUAGGACGAAAACGUCGUCCAGUGC
rnacentral:hammerhead_ribozyme from 1 species